rnacentral:rRNA from 1 species
AACGAACGCUGGCGGCGUGCCUAACACAUGCAAGUCGAACGAGAAUGCAGGCUUCGGUCUGCUAGUAAAGUGGCGCACGGGUGAGCAACACGUGGAUAACGUACAUUGUAGUGGGGGAUAACCAGGUGAAAGCUUGGCUAAUACCGCAUGAGUCUGUCGGGACGCAGGUUUUGACAGGGAAAGUGAGCAAUCACGCUACGAGAUCGGUCCGCGGCCCAUUAGCUAGUUGGCGGGGUAAUGGCCCACCAAGGCGACGAUGGGUAGCUGGUCUGAGAGGACGAUCAGCCACACUGGAACUGAGACACGGUCCAGACUCCUACGGGAGGCAGCAGUGGGGAAUUUGCGCAAUGGGCGAAAGCCUGACGCAGCAACGCCGCGUGUGUGACGAAAGGCCCUAAGGGUUGUAAAGCACUGUGGGAGGGGAGAAAAAACCGGAGUGUAUCCGGUCUUGACGGUACCCUGUUAGAAAGCAACCGGCUAAACUCCGUGCCAGCAGCCGCGGUAAU